rnacentral:rRNA from 1 species
GUGGGGAAUCUUAGACAAUGGGGGAAACCCUGAUCUAGCCAUGCCGCGUGAGCGAUGAAGGCCUUAGGGUUGUAAAGCUCUUUCAGCUGGGAAGAUAAUGACGGUACCAGCAGAAGAAGCCCCGGCUAACUCCGUGCCAGCAGCCGCGGUAAUACGGAGGGGGCUAGCGUUAUUCGGAAUUACUGGGCGUAAAGCGCACGUAGGCGGACCAGAAAGUUGGGGGUGAAAUCCCGGGGCUCAACCUCGGAACUGCCUUCAAAACUCCUGGUCUUGAGUUCGAGAGAGGUGAGUGGAAUUCCGAGUGUAGAGGUGAAAUUCGUAGAUAUUCGGAGGAACACCAGUGGCGAAGGCGGCUCACUGGCUCGAUACUGACGCUGAGGUGCGAAAGCGUGGGGAGCAAACAGGAUUAGAAACCCGAGUAGUCC